rnacentral:rRNA from 1 species
AUUGAACGCUGGCGGCAGGCCUAACACAUGCAAGUCGAGCGGCAGCGGGAAGUAGUUUACUACUUUGCCGGCGAGCGGCGGACGGGUGAGUAAUGUCUGGGAAACUGCCUGAUGGAGGGGGAUAACUACUGGAAACGGUAGCUAAUACCGCAUAACGUCUUCGGACCAAAGUGGGGGACCUUCGGGCCUCACGCCAUCGGAUGUGCCCAGAUGGGAUUAGCUAGUAGGUGGGGUAAUGGCUCACCUAGGCGACGAUCCCUAGCUGGUCUGAGAGGAUGACCAGCUAAGCAUCAUUGGCUUGGUCAGCC